UGCUCCUAAAAGGGAACCCAAGACACCAGCAGUUGGUUUAGAUGGCAUUCUUUUGAUGAAUUCAAAUGCCUCAUCAAUCCUACCCGCACGGCCAAGCAUAUCAACGAUGCAACCAUAAUGCUCAGUGCCAGGCUUAGUCCCGUAUUCUCCCGCUACCAUGCCAUCAAAUAUAUUCAACCCUGUGUCUUCCAUUCUCCCAUGGCUGCAACCAGACAAAACAGCCAAAAGGGUAACUGCAUCAGGCUUUACUCUCUUCUCAUCUCUCAUCAAUCUAAAAAGUUCAAGAACUU